GAUCUCUUAAAGCCGUUCUCAGUUCGGACUGUAGGCUGCAACUCGCCUACACGAAGCUGGAAUCGCUAGUAAUCGCGGAUCAGCACGCCGCGGUGAAUACGUUCCCGGGCCUUGUACACACCGCCCGUCACACCAUGAGAGUCUGUAACACCCAAAGCCGGUGGGAUAACCUUUAUAGGAGUCAGCCGUCUAAGGUAGGACAGAUGAUUAGGGUGAAGUCGUAACAAGGUAUC
rnacentral:rRNA from 1 species